rnacentral:rRNA from 1 species
GCAAGUCGAGCGAGAAAGGUCUCUUCGGAGACUGAGUAAAGCGGCGGACGGGUGAGUAACACGUGAGUAACGUACCCUUCAGUGGGGGAUAACUAUUCGAAAGGAUAGCUAAUACCGCAUGAGACCACAGAGGCUUCGGCUUCAGAGGUCAAAGUCUUCGGACGCUGAAGGAUCGGCUCGCGGUCCAUUAGGUAGUUGGUGGGGUAACGGCCUACCAAGUCUACGAUCUAUAGCUGGUUUUAGAGGAUGAUC